rnacentral:rRNA from 1 species
AUUGAACGCUGGCGGCAGGCCUAACACAUGCAAGUCGAGCGGCGCGGGGGGCGGGUGAGUAAUGCCUAGGAAUGUGCCUGGUAGUGGGGGAUAACGUCCGGAAACGGGCGCUAAUACCUAAUGCUAUCAGAUGAGCCUAGGUCGGAUUAGCUAGUUGGUGGGGUAAGGGCCUACCAAGGCGACGAUCCGUCGCUGGUCUGAGAGGAUGAUCAGUCACACUGGAACUGAGACACGGUCCAGACUCCUACGGGAGGCAGCAGUGGGGAAUAUUGGACAAUGGGCGAAAGCCUGAUGCAGCCAUGCCGCGUGUGUGAAGAAGGUCUUCGGAUUGUAAAGUACUUUAAGUUGGGAGGCGUUACCAGCAGAAUAAGCACCGGCUAACUUCGUGCCAGCAGCCGCGGUAAUAC